CUGACGGUACCAAAAGAAUAAGCACCGGCUAAUUCCGUGCCAGCAGCCGCGGUAAUACGGAAGGUGCAAGCGUUAUCCGGAAUCACUGGGUUUAAAGGGUGCGUAGGCGGUUGCGUAAGUCAGAAGUGAAAGCUCACAGCUUAACUGUGGAAUUGCUUUUGAUACUGCGUGACUAGAAUUAGGUUGAGGUUGGCGGAAUGUGACAUGUAGCGGUGAAAUGCAUAGAUAUGUCAUAGAACACCAAUUGCGAAGGCAGCUGACUGGACCUAUAUUGACGCUGAGGCACGAAAGCGUGGGGAGCGAACAGGAUUAGAUACCCUGGUAGUCCACGCCCUAAACGAUGCUUACUCGAUGUGUGAAAUAUUGCGCAUCCAAGGGAAACCGUUAAGUAAGCCACCUGGGGAGUACGUUCGCAAGAAUGAAACUCAAAUGAAUUGACG
rnacentral:rRNA from 1 species